AACGAACGCUGGCGGCAUGCCUAACACAUGCAAGUCGAACGAUUGCCUUCGGGUGAUAGUGGCGCACGGGUGCGUAACGCGUGGGAAUCUGCCCUUAGGUUCGGAAUAACAGCUGGAGACGGCUGCUAAUACCGGAUGAUAUCGCGAGAUCAAAGAUUUAUCGCCUGAGGAUGAGCCCGCGUUGGAUUAGGUAGUUGGUGGGGUAAAGGCCUACCAAGCCGACGAUCCAUAGCUGGUCUGAGAGGAUGAUCAGCCACACUGGGACUGAGACACGGCCCAGACUCCUACGGGAGGCAGCAGUGGGGAAUAUUGGACAAUGGGCGCAAGCCUGAUCCAGCAAUGCCGCGUGAGUGAUGAAGGCCCUAGGGUUGUAAAGCUCUUUUACCCGGGAAGAUAAUGACUGUACCGGGAGAAUAAGCCCCGGCUAACUCCGUG
rnacentral:rRNA from 1 species